rnacentral:rRNA from 1 species
GACGAACGCUGGCGGCGUGCUUAACACAUGCAAGUCGAACGGAAAGGCCCUGCUUUUGUGGGGUGCUCGAGUGGCGAACGGGUGAGUAACACGUGAGUAACCUGCCCUUGACUUUGGGAUAACUUCAGGAAACUGGGGUUAAUACCGGAUAGGAGCUCCUGCUGCAUGGUGGGGGUUGGAAAGUUUCGGCGGUUGGGGAUGGACUCGCGGCUUAUCAGCUUGUUGGUGGGGUAGUGGCUUACCAAGGCUUUGACGGGUAGCCGGCCUGAGAGGGUGACCGGCCACAUUGGGACUGAGGUACGGCCCAGACUCCUACGGGAGGCAGCAGUGGAGGAUAUUGCACAAUAGGCGGAAGCCUGAUGCAGCAACGCCGCGUGCGGGAUGACGGCCUUCGGGUUGUAAACCGCUUUCGCCUGUGACGAAGCGUGAGUGACGGUAAUGAGUAAAGAAGCACCGGCUAACUACGUG